AGAUUGAACGCUAGCGGGAUGCUUUACACAUGCAAGUCGAACGGCAGCGCGGACUUCGGUCUGGCGGCGAGUGGCGAACGGGUGAGUAAUAUAUCGGAACGUGCCCAGUAGCGGGGGAUAACUACGCGAAAGCGUGGCUAAUACCGCAUACGCCCGUACGGGGGAAAGGGGGGAUCGCAAGACCUCUCACUAUUGGAGCGGCCGAUAUCAGAUUAGCUAGUUGGUGAGGUAAAGGCUCACCAAGGCGACGAUCUGUAGCUGGUUUGAGAGGACGACCAGCCACACUGGGACUGAGACACGGCCCAGACUCCGUACGGGAGCAGCGAG
rnacentral:rRNA from 1 species